GAAGCAAUUAAUCAAGAUGUUAAGCGAAUAAAUACUGGGCGAGAUUCCUAACAAUUCAGUUGUUUUGGAUAAAGAAAUGACAGUAUGAUGCUGUUUCAUUCUCACAGGAGCAGAUAAAAAUCGAUUAAAAUCCACCCUAGAAAGUAGAGGAUGCAUAUGGAUAAAGGAGAUUUGUACUUAGAUCUGAAGACGUGUGCAUCUUGGAGUGUGGAAUUGGAAGUAGAGUAGAAGAAUGGAAAGAAUUGGUAA
rnacentral:misc_RNA from 1 species